rnacentral:rRNA from 1 species
ACAAGCGGUGAUGAUGUGAUUAAUUCGAUGCAACGCGAAAACCUUACCUACCCUUGACAUGUCCGGAAUCCCGAAGAGAUUUGGGAGUGCUCGCAAGAGAACCGGAACACAGGUGCUGCAUGGCUGUCGUCAGCUCGUGUCGUGAGAUGUUGGGUUAAGUCCCGCAACGAGCGCAACCCUUGUCAUUAGUUGCUACAUUCAGUUGGGCACUCUAAUGAGACUGCCGGUGACAAGCCGGAGGAAGGUGGGAUGACGUCAAGUCCUCAUGGCCCUUACAUCCCGGGCUACACACGUGCUACAAUGGCAGGUACAGAGGGCUGCGAAGCCGCGAGGUGGAGCGAAUCCCAGAAAGCCGAUCGUAGUCCGGAUUGUUCUCUGCAACUCGAGAGCAUGAAGUCGGAAUCGCUAGUAAUCGCGGAUCAGCAUGUCGCGGUGAAUACGUUCCCGGGUCUU